GACGAACGCUGGCGGCGUGCCUAAUACAUGCAAGUAGAACGCUGAAGGAGGAGCUUGCUUCUCUGGAUGAGUUGCGAACGGGUGAGUAACGCGUAGGUAACCUGCCUGGUAGCGGGGGAUAACUAUUGGAAACGAUAGCUAAUACCGCAUAAGAGUAGAUGUCGCAUGACAUUUGCUUAAAAGGUGCAAUUGCAUCACUACCAGAUGGACCUGCGUUGUAUUAGCUAGUUGGUGAGGUAACGGCUCACCAAGGCAACGAUACAUAGCCGACCUGAGAGGGUGAUCGGCCACAAUGGGACUGAGAUACGGCCCAGACUCCUACGGGAGGCAGCAGUGGGGAAUAUUGCACAAUGGGCGGAAGCCUGAUGCAGCAACGCCGCGUGCGGGAUGACGGCCUUCGGGUUGUAAACCGCUUUCGCCUGUGACGAAGCGUGAGUGACGGUAAUGGGUAAAGAAGCACCGGCUAACUACGUG
rnacentral:rRNA from 1 species